rnacentral:rRNA from 1 species
UACGUAGGUGGCAAGCGUUGUCCGGAUUUACUGGGCGUAAAGAGCGCGCAGGCGGUCUUGCAAGUCGCGUGUGAAAGCCCCCGGCUCAACUGGGGAGGGUCACGCGAUACUGCUCGACUCGAAGGCAGGAGAGGGAAGUGGAAUUCCCGGUGUAGUGGUGAAAUGCGUAGAUAUCGGGAGGAACACCAGUGGCGAAGGCGACUACCUGGCCUGUUCUUGACGCUGAGGCGCGAAAGCUAGGGGAGCAAACGGG